GGGGAUGUAAUGGGUUCGACGGGGGUAGCUGGUGCAUCGUAAGCGAGCCGGAGUCUCCGUCCACUCCGUAAAAAGGCGGAAGUCCUUUAAAUAUAAAGGCUAACGACAAUUACGCAAUCGCAGCCUGAUUUGGCUGCCCUCUCACUCGGCAGAGCCCGCGCUCUGAGCUGAGAGGCCAAACAGCGGGAUUACCUGUGUAAGACGCUCCGACUUACGCCGGGAGAAUCAAGGAGAUCGCCGAAGGACGGAUUGCCCCUGAACCGUCUCAGGCUAAAACCAAUCAGUGGCUGCGCUCGGAGAAGUCGGUGAAACAAUGCCUUCGGACAGGAGUUCGAUUCUCCUCAUCUCCACCA
rnacentral:sRNA from 1 species